rnacentral:rRNA from 1 species
GACGAACGCUGGCGGCGUGCUUAACACAUGCAAGUCGAACGGUAAGGCCCUUCGGGGUACACGAGUGGCGAGCGGGUGAGUAACACGUGGGUGAUCUGCCCUGCACUUCGGGAUAAGCCUGGGAAACUGGUCUAAUACCGGAUAGGACCACUGCCUGCAUGGGUGGUGGUGGAAAGCUUUUGCGGUGUGGGAUGGGCCCGCGGCCUAUCAGCUUGUUGGUGGGGUGAUGGCCUACCAAGGCGACGACGGGUAGCCGGCCCGAGAGGGUGACCGGCCACACUGGGACUGAGAUACGGCCCAGACUCCUACGGGAGGCAGCAGUGGGGAAUAUUGCACAAUGGGCGCAAGCCUGAUGCAGCGACGCCGCGUGAGGGAUGACGGCCUUCGGGUUGUAAACCUCUUUCAGCACCGACGAAGCGCAAGUGACGGUAGGUGCAGAAGAAGGACCGGCCAACUACGUGCCAGCAGCCGCUGUAA